UACGGAGGGAGCUAGCGUUAUUCGGAAUUACUGGGCGUAAAGCGCACGUAGGCGGCUUUGUAAGUAAGAGGUGAAAGCCCGGAGCUCAACUCCGGAACUGCCUUUUAGACUGCAUCGCUUGAAUCCAGGAGAGGUGAGUGGAAUUCCGAGUGUAGAGGUGAAAUUCGUAGAUAUUCGGAAGAACACCAGUGGCGAAGGCGGCUCACUGGACUGGUAUUGACGCUGAGGUGGCGAAAAGCGUGGGGAGCAAACAGG
rnacentral:rRNA from 1 species